ensembl:lncRNA
AUGGGUGUGUGUGUGUGUGUUGUGUGGGGGUGCUCGGUGCCUCAGUGGCGGCCCACGAGUAAAGUCCCUGGCCAAGAGGCAGACGGAGGACUGGAGCGCUACCCCAUGGCAGGCCGACAGGAGGAUAAGAUGCGAUCGGAAGGAUGCGAAAAGACUGGAUGGGGAAUUGAGGGGGCUGGAGAGGCCCGAGCUGCCUGUCUGCCCCUGGGAGAAGGAGGAGACGUCCCCAAACUGCCCCUACCUCUCAAGCGCGGGGUUGGGGGGAGUGGUCGGCGCAGCCCUGCAGAGGAGACCGAGGGCAUUCAUUGCUCAGCGGAGCUGGAACUACGUCACCCGUGUGAAGUCCUGGACCCCCAGAUUCUAAGGGAAUCUCAAGCUGAGCGAGGAAGCCUGUUCUUCACAUCUCAAGACCCAACUGUCCUCAGAGCCCACUUUCAGAGCCUCACCCCUUCCCCACAGAGCAGUGUUGAGAGACUCUGUUCAUCCUAAUCAUGGGAGAAUAGAUCUGGAGCUGGAAGAGAUUGCAGAGGCCAUGAGGUCCAACGCUCCCAUUUUACAUAUGAAGAGACUGAUACCUGGGGAGGUGAAGUGAUUUGUGUGAGGUCACACAGACAGCAAGCAUCAAGGGCAGGAUUUGAACCCAGUUCUUUGGGUUCCAGAAGCAGUGCUCUUUCCAUUGUACCAGGUUGAGGGGUCCUUGCUGCUGAUCUCAUCUGAACUAUUCCUUUUACAGAAGAGGAAACUGAGGCCCAGGGAGAGGGAAGUGAGUGGCUCAAAGUCACAUAGGAAGCAAGUAGCAGACACAGGACUGCUAAAAAGAUUCUGGGUCCCAAUCUAGUGCCCCUUCCACUCUACAUCUGCUCCUGGGCGUCUCAACCUGGAGGGUUGCCUGAUUGGUUAGAGAAAAUCCAUUUUAAGGAAAAUGUCCUGUUCAUUCAUGUCUUCAUUCCUUUCAGGGCUUCACUCCUGACUCUUUAGACUUUCAACCUCCUUCCCUGCCCCUCCCCCUUCCUCUCUUUCCUCCUCUUUUUACUUGUCUUCCUCCAUUAGAAACUAAGCUCCCUGAGGGCAGGGACUGUCUUUCUGCAUCUAUUUAUAAUAGCUUAAAAAAAAAUCUGCUUCCUGACUUGACUCAACUCACCCAUUAUAUUGAGUUAGAUUGAGAAAAAAUCCCAGUGUGUCCCAGCACACUGGAGCAGACCACUGACUUUUAAGUCAGAUGACCUGAGUUCCAAUCUCACCUCUAUCUGCUUAUUACCCAUGUGAUCUCUUGUAAGUCACUUCCCCUUUUUGUGCCUCAGUGUCCUCAUCUGUAAAAUGGACCAGAUAGACAUGAAGGUUUCCAGAUCUAAAUCUAGGAUUACAGCCCUGUUGGAGAGAUGAGCACCGUAAGGGUCCCCAGAGAAGAGAAACAAGUUAUUCCAUGCUGGACACACAGUAGCGACCUAUGACUAUUCUGAGUUUUUAAAGCAGUUCGUGUUAAGCCGACUUUGGCCGUGACUGAAUUUUCCCCAACUAGACUCAGGUGGGGACUAUGUCAUGUACACAGUAGGCAUUUAAUAAAUGUUUGCUGAAUUGAAUUGUAUCCA